GUGUGUUUAUUCCAGUCAGGUUGCUUUUUUAAAAAAGAUUUCUCCAAAGCAUUUUAAAGCAAUCUGUGAAACAUAGUGGAUGAAAACUGUAGCUCAAAAUGCAUGAACAAGAAAAACAUCCUGUACAUUUUAGGAGUUGAACAGACUAGCCAGUUAUCUUCUAGAUACUGAUGGAGUGUGUCUGAUUUAAGUAAAGAAAUAAGGCAGCAAAGAAAAAAAAACAUUAAUAAACUGUAAGGGUCCAGCCGGCCCCACCUGCUGCCAUCAGAGGUCGACGGCAGCAAAGUGCCCAGCCUGCACCACCUGUUGCCAGCAGAGGGUGAUGGUGGGGAGGAGCAACGGACUAAUUAGGCUCAUUCGACACACCUGCAGGCACCCCUACUUAAGGCUGCGGCAAACGGCAGUGUUUGUCACAGCUUUGUAGAGGGGUGACCGGUAUGGUACUUAACAGUGUUAAAUAAAAUAAAAAGAAAAGAAAAGAAACGAAACGAAACGAAACUGCCCCAAAACUAAGAAGAAAAGAGGACUACCAUCCCAGAGUCUACCUUCCCUGCACUCUAAUAGAGGAGGGUUUCACCCACAGUUACCUCUGCUUCCUGGUGGAGCAGCGGUAACACCAUGGACCGCCGACCGGUACAGCGACGGUUCGAGUCUGGCUCUAGGUUACCUUAUUUACAACGUCCAAUACACACACUCCACCCCCGUAAAUCUCCUUACUCCCCUUUUUUCUCACUGGCUUUCGGUUCUGUACUUGGGUCCGCCUCCCCGCUGUGACCUAAACAUGCUGAAAGACAGUCAAAGCAGUUUUAAUAAAGUAUUGUGGGGUGUUGCCCAGAGGGACGAUACGAG